rnacentral:tRNA from 1 species
GCCGCGGUGGCGGAACUGGUAUACGCGCAUGACUUAAAAUCAUGUGGUCGUAAGACCUUGCGGGUUCGAUUCCCGCCCGCGGCACCA